rnacentral:rRNA from 1 species
UGGGGAAUUUUGGACAAUGGGCGAAAGCCUGAUCCAGCAAUGCCGCGUGUGUGAAGAAGGCCUUCGGGUUGUAAAGCACUUUUGUCCGGAAAGAAAUCCUUGGCUCUAAUACAGUCGGGGGAUGACGGUACCGGAAGAAUAAGCACCGGCUAACUACGUGCCAGCAGCCGCGGUAAUACGUAGGGUGCAAGCGUUAAUCGGAAUUACUGGGCGUAAAGCGUGCGCAGGCGGUUUGCUAAGACCGAUGUGAAAUCCCCGGGCUCAACCUGGGAACUGCAUUGGUGACUGGCAGGCUAGAGUAUGGCAGAGGGGGGUAGAAUUCCACGUGUAGCAGUGAAAUGCGUAGAGAUGUGGAGGAAUACCGAUGGCGAAGGCAGCCCCCUGGGCCAAUACUGACGCUCAUGCACGAAAGCGUGGGGAGCAAAACAGGAUUAGAUACCCUGGUAGUCCACGCCCUAAAACGAUGUCAACUAGUUGUUGGGGAUUCAUUCCUUAGUAACGUAGCUAACGCGUGAAGUUGACCGCCUGGGGAGUACGGUCGCAAGAUUAAAACUCAAUGAAUUGACGGGGUCAUAGCUG